CCUACGGGGGGCAGCAGUCGAGAAUCAUUCACAAUGGGGGAAACCCUGAUGGUGCGACGCCGCGUGGGGGAAUGAAGGUCUUCGGAUUGUAAACCCCUGUCAUGUGGGAGCAAAUUAAAAAGAUAGUACCACACGAGGAAGAGACGGCUAACUCUGUGCCAGCAGCCGCGGUAAUACAGAGGUCUCAAGCGGUGUUCGGAAUCACUGGGCGUAAAGCGUGCGUAGGCUGUUUCGUAAGUCGUGUGUGAAAGGCGCGGGCUCAACCCGCGGACGGCACAUGAUACUGCGAGACUAGAGUAAUGGAGGGGGAACCGGAAUUCGCGGUGUAGCAGUGAAAUGCGUAGAUAUCGAGAGGAACACUCGUGGCGAAGGCGGGUUCCUGGACAUUAACUGACGCUGAGGCACGAAGGCCAGGGGAGCGAAAGGGAUUAGAUACCCUAGUAGUC
rnacentral:rRNA from 1 species